rnacentral:misc_RNA from 1 species
UCCGGUUUGACACCGGCAGUCUCCCUAGAGUGCCCGGCUUUACCCGCUGGUAACUAGGGACGAGGGUUGCGCUCGUUGCGGGACUUAACCCAACAUCUCACGACACGAGCUGACGACAACCAUGCACCACCUGUGUAGGGCCCAAAAGGACACCACAUCUCUGUGGCUUUUCCCUACAUGUCAAACCCAGGUAAGGUUCUUCGCGUUGCCUCGAAUUAAGCAACAUGCUCCGCCGCUUGUGCGGGCCCCCGUCAAUUCCUUUGAGUUUUAGCCUUGCGGCCGUACUCCCCAGGCGGGGCACUUAAUGCGUUAGCUACGGCACGGAACGCGUUGAUAACGCCCCACACCUAGUGCCCAACGUUUACGGCGUGGACUAC